AAAAUAUGUUAGGAACAAAAUAUGACUUCUAAUCAUAUCUUGAGCCGUUCAAUUCGGCUCAUAUUUUU
rnacentral:tRNA from 1 species